CUGACUGACUCUAAUUAAAACAAAGGGACCUCGAUUCAGCCUUGGGAAGUAAAAUUGAAAUGAAACUCUUGCUAGCUGGAGCUAUUUUUGUGCAACGGGAUAAGAAAAAAUCAAGGGAAUAGAUCAGAUUUUUGAUUUAUUAAAGGUUAUCAUUAUUCCAUAAAUAGAGGUGACCAGCAGCUAAGAAGGGGGUGGAAAAACAGAGAGAAAAAAUAGCAAAGGGGCGUGGCACUCAAGCAAGGAAAAAAUCUCUAAUUCGCCCAGCAAAAGCCGAUCAAGCAGCUAGAGUAGCAGCCAAAAAAAUUCUAGCUAAUCGAGAGGACGGAAGCUCGACGAUUUGAAGAAUUUUCCUUUCCAAAGAUUCAGUUUGUAAUUCAUGUUGUUACAAUUGAUUUUUUUUUGUUUUACUUGCUAUGAGUGGCUAACUUACUUAAGCUUAGUUAGACACUUAUGAAACCUCGCACAAGGAAUUUGAAGAUUUAUUUUGUUUAAAUUCGAAUUUGGCAUUCUUGAGUUUCUUAUUUUAUCGUUCAAGGAAUUUUUCUAAAUCAUUAGAUUGAUCACCUAUUUAAUUUAGGAAUUUUCUUAUAGUCAUCUAAGUGCAAAUUGAGUAAUCGAAUUUCUUAAUUAGACUUAGAGUUGGUGAUGAUUAAUUGGCCUGCAGCUAAUUGAAGCAACUACGGAUUUAAUUUUAGAAGUCGUUGGAGGAUUUUCUUUGAUUAAUGCAAGGUGGCGUCUCUAAAAUACUAAAUGCACUUUUAAUUAGUCAACAAAGAGAUAAUUAAAGGUAGGUUUUCAAUUACGAAUGUUCUCUAAUUGAAUUAAAAUUUAAUAGGGACAGGAAGUCGCUUCGUAAGUGAUUUUUUAGCCUUGCUGCUAAAUUGGUCUAUUAGGAUAAUUUAAGGACGCAAAGGACUUGGGCUUGGCGGAUUAAGAAGUCAGCAACUAAGCAUUCUUCUCUUUAUUUUGGCAGUUUUUAGCAUUUAUAAUUAAGGUUAAAAGUUUGUUCGAUUAGAUCGUUUUUAGUAAACAUAGAAGCAUAAACCCCCUCCUUUUUCCUUUCUUGCAUGCAUUUACAUUACCUUAAUUUCAAUUCUCUUCAAAUAGGUUUAACACGAGCUUCUUCGUGGGAUGAUUCCCUACUUACUCUAUAUUACCAGUUAAUAUUAGUGAAUAGUGGAUUGAAUUCGGUUGUCAUAACGACAGCUACCACAUGCUUAGCUAGUUAGACAAAGAAGGCUAUAGAGGACAAAGGAAGUAAGGUAAGUUUUUGUACUUUUCCUUAGGUGUUGUUUGUUGCUAUGCUGCUGAAAUGUUUUGAGUGAGUGUUUGUUUUGAGUUAAUAUGAAAUUUGUGGUUAUAAAUGAUUUUGAUGAUUUAGCAAACUAUGCAUGCAUAAGAUUGUGGACAUAAAUGCAUGUUUUCUUGUAUGCUCUCUAAAUGUACAUUGUGUUGGUGUAUUGACGUGUUAAAUUGUGGCAAACUCCUUAAUAUGUUAGUAUUUGGAAUGUUAUGCAUGAAUUUAAUGUUUUUAAUAUGCAGAGUAUAGAGGGAAUUACAAUGAUUGGGUAGAUGGAGAUAGGAAAAAUUUGGCAUAAUGGGUGAAUGAGUGGAUUGUUACGAGAUUCAAGGGAGUUGGGUGGUAUCAUGGAUUGAUUAUCUAUUAGCUCGCUAGAGUGACACCGCAACGAUGAUAUUGAACUAGUCAUUUGGGGUGAUACCUUUUAAAUGGUAUACAGGUCCUUCGGGGCAACACCAUGACAAUGGUUUAUAUGUUCCAUGGGGUGAUACUGUGACGACAGUCUGUAGGCUUCUUGGGACAACACCAUGAAAAUAGUUUGUAGGCUCUACGGAGCAACACCUUAAAAUAGGUUUAUAGACUCUUAGAGUCAUAAGACAUGGAUAUCAUGACGGGACUAAUAGUGAAUAAGUAAGUGAGCUAAUAAGAGCCCCGCCAAAAGGUAAAGGUAUAUGUAGGGUGAAGGGGGUAAUUCUUUCAAAGAAUUUUCAAAUUAGUAGCUGUUAAUAAGAGUCCACCAAUGGAGAUGAAUGAGCUAGUAUUGGACAUGAGAAUGGUGAGACGGUCCCUAAGACUCUAAUUCUAGGUGUUUCUUAGUAAUUAGUUUGUCAGAAUUGUGGAAAGUCCACCAAGGACUACCUCAUAGGGAAAGUCUGAUAAGCUCUGUUCUACAUGGAGAGUCCGCCAAAGACUACCUUGAAGACAAAAAUGUCCGCAAAGACUACCAUAUGGAUGGAAAAGCCGUCAAGGACUAUCUUAAAUAGGGAGUCAUCUAAAGACGAUCUAAUGAGGAGAUGGUCCGUUAGGAUCUAUUUUGGUUUGGAAGUCCAUUAAGACUAUCUGAUCAGUGGAAUCAUUUGUUCAGACAAUCCUAAAGAGGGAAUGUCCAUGGGAUUUCUUACUAGAACAACUCUGCAAGAUAGGAGUAGUUUUUACAUCCAUCCACUAAAUUUUGUACCUAAAGGCCCUAUAACGAGCGUGUAUAUAUACGUAACUUAAUGGGAAACAUGUCUCGAAGUUGUCUAUGAAACUAUCUAUGUGAAUAAGUCAAAUAUUAAGGUAGGUAAAAGUCUGAACAUGGAAACCUACAGAUGUUCAUAUGGGUUAUUUUUCUCGGGGUAGGUAUAUGCCUAAAUUUAAUUACAUGGUAGAUAUCUAAAUAGUAUUGUAUGAAGGCAUUAGGAUCAAUGGAAAAUGAAGGAAACCAAGUAAGAGUUCACCAAAUUACUGAAUCAUCUGUAAGCACGCUAAAUCUAGUCAGAAUUUUGAAUACCAGACUGUGUGGCUAUCUUUCUAAUGAGUCAAGCCAGCAAGGAAGAAAAUAAUUUGGAGACAAAGCUUGAUAAAGUCAUAUCUCAGAAAGAGAUUGUCAGAAAGUGUACGAUCGCAUUUAAAGUUUUCACGAAUAUUCGCAGAGAUGUUCAAGAAGAACUCCUAGCAUACUCAACCUUAUUUGCGAAAAUCUUUUAGUGAACUUAGGGAGUUUAAAUAUAUUGCAAAUGCUUUAUAUCUAGAAUUUCCAGUGUUAUUUAGAAGUAUUAAUGUAUGGUUUUUCACUAAGUUCAUUUGAACUUAUGAGCGAAUUUUGCCUUCUCUACAGGAUCAGGCUAAAAUAGGAUUAUGUGGAAAAGGACCAAGCCAGACCACACGGAACCCUAGAGGAAAGUUAGUGUUAUAGUGUUAUGCAUAUAGAGGGGCACCCUUUGAGGCUAUGCCUCAGGGUUAGAAUAAGUGUAGUUGAGAAAAAAUUAUGUUCGGGAUUUAUGCGAUUUACAUAUCCAGUAAACGAAAUUAUUGUAAGAAUUUGGUUCUACUUACUUUGUUAUACACAUCAAGAAGAUGUCUUUUAAAGUUUAGUUGUAAAGUGUAUUUGAUAGUUAAUUAUUAAAAAAUAAUAUCAUAUAAAAGCAGAAUUUCGCAUAAAUGGAGUAAGAUUGAAUCUUAGAAAAGCAAUUAAUUAAUUUGGUUCAAUCGUAGCAUUCGAAACCCGAACUUGACGAGCGAUUUAGGUAAAGAGUGUUACAAAACAUGAGAUAUUAUGUGAUGUUAUCAUGAUGGGGGAGUAAAUAUGUGUUCUACUCUUUUUCCCGUGAUGGAGGUUUUGGCCCACUGAAUUUUCCUAGUAAGGUUUUUAAUGAGGUAGCAUGUUAUGCGUAUUAUAGAUAUGUAUACUCAUUUUCCUUCACUGAGAAUUUUUUCCCACAAGGUUUUUAUCUUAAUAAGGUUUUAAAAAGGCACAUUAUCUACCAAUGGACAUUCAACAGGG
rnacentral:lncRNA from 1 species